rnacentral:rRNA from 1 species
UUUUCCGGUUUUUUCUGCGGAGGCCAUUGCUAUCGGAGUCCGAUUUAGCAUGCUAGUUGUGCGGGUUUAGGCCCGCAGCGGAAAGCUCAGUAACACGUGGCCAAGCUACCCUGUGGACGGGAAUACUCUCGGGAAACUGAGGCUAAUCCCCGAUAACGCUUUGCUCCUGGAAGGGGCAAAGCCGGAAACGCUCCGGCGCCACAGGAUGCGGCUGCGGUCGAUUAGGUAGACGGUGGGGUAACGGCCCACCGUGCCUAUAAUCGGUACGGGUUGUGAGAGCAAGAGCCCGGAGACGGAAUCUGAGACAAGAUUCCGGGCCCUACGGGGCGCAGCAGGCGCGAAACCUUUACACUGUACGAAAGUGCGAUAAGGGGACUCCGAGUGUGAAGGCAUAGAGCCUUCACUUUUGUACACCGUAAGGUGGUGUACGAAUAAGGACUGGGCAAGACCGGUGCCAGCCGCCGCGGUAAUACCGGCAGUCCGAGUGAUGGCCGAUAUUAUUGGGCCUAAAGCGUCCGUAGCUGGCUGAACAAGUCCGUUGGGAAAUCUGUCCGCUUAACGGGCAGGCGUCCAGCGGAAACUGUUCAGCUUGGGACCGGAAGACCUGAGGGGUACGUCUGGGGUAGGAGUGAAAUCCUGUAAUCCUGGACGGACCGCCGGUGGCGAAAGCGCCUCAGGAGAACGGAUCCGACAGUGAGGGACGAAAGCUAGGGUCUCGAACCGGAUUAGAUACCCGGGUAGUCCUAGCUGUAAACGAUGUCCGCUAGGUGUGGCGCAGGCUACGAGCCUGCGCUGUGCCGUAGGGAAGCCGAGAAGCGGACCGCCUGGGAAGUACGUCUGCAAGGAUGAAACUUAAAGGAAUUGGCGGGGGGAGCACUACAACUGGAGGAGCCUGCUGAUUUAUGAUCAUCACCACCCCGCCAGAAA